GCUUGCUUUCUUUGCCGGCGACCGGCGCACGGGUGAGUAACACGUAUCCAACCUGCCCUUUACUCGGGGAUAGCCUUUCGAAAGAAAGAUUAAUACCCGAUGGCAUAGUUCUUCCGCAUGGUGGAACUAUUAAAGAAUUUCGGUCAUCGAUGGGGAUGCGUUCCAUUAGGUUGUUGGCGGGGUAACGGCCCACCAAGCCUUCGAUGGAUAGGGGUUCUGAGAGGAAGGUCCCCCACAUUGGAACUGAGACACGGUCCAAACUCCUACGGGAGGCAGCAUG
rnacentral:rRNA from 1 species